CAAUAGGGAUUUCAGUUGUGAAUUUGAUAAGUUUCACAAAGCUUUAGAUGGAUAUUUAAAACUACCCAUCAUACCAACUUACACAUCUUCACGAGUGUAACGUUGAAAAUAUCCGAAUGUUACUCCUUCACAUCUCCAUGUAUUCCACUCUCUUAUCUCCUAUAAAGCCCUCAGUUACGAACAUUCUCUCUGUUGGGAGGAUCCAUCACGAGUGCGGAAUAUAGAUUCCCGCUCA
rnacentral:lncRNA from 1 species